rnacentral:misc_RNA from 1 species
GUUGGAUGUUUCUUUUUUCCUCAUUCUAACCUACAUGAUUUUGGGAUGAUGGACUGCAAUCAUUGAGAUGCAGGUUAUAACAAGAAUGUAGAUUUGGAGAAAGGAAUGGUGUAUUGAAUCUGAAGUGAUUAUAUGGAAAAAAUCACUUUUGUAUGUCUUGUUACUUUUAUUCUUUCUGACUUUAACUCUUUGAUAAGUUCUCAUGAGUUGAUAAUGGCAUAUUAGACCUAACAACUAUGAAAAUUAUCGGU